AUUGAACGCUGGCGGCAUGCCUUACACAUGCAAGUCGAACGGCAGCACGGGUGCUUGCCCCUGGUGGCGAGUGGCGCACGGGUGAGUAAUACAUCGGGACAUGUCCUGUAGUGGGGGAUAGCCCGGCGAAAGCCGGAUUAAUACCGCAUACGAACUAAGGAAGACAGCGGGGGCCCUUCGGGACUCGCGCUUUGGGGUUGGCCGAGGGGUGAUCCGCUCGUGGGUAGGGUAAUGGCCAGCCAAGGCGACGAUCAGUAGCCGGUCGGUGGGGAGGACCAGCAACACGGAGACUAGGACACGUCCCAGACUCCUACGGGAGGCAGCAGUGGGGAAUUUUGGACAUUGGCGAAAGCCUGAUCCAGCAAUGCCGCGUGUGUGAAGAAGGCCUUCGGGUUGUAAAGCACUUUUGUCCGGAAAGAAAUCCUUUGCUCUAAUACAGUCGGGGGAUGACGGUACCGGAAGAAUAAGCACCGGCUAACUACGUG
rnacentral:rRNA from 1 species